AGUGAACGCUGGCGGUAGGCCUAAUACAUGCAAGUCGAACGGCAGCACAGUAAGCGCUCGCUCUUACGGGUGGCGAGUGGCGGACGGGUGAGGAAUACAUCGGAAUCUACUUUUUCGUGGGGGACAACGUAGGGAAACUUACGCUAAUACCGCAUACGACGUACGGGUGAAAGCAGUGGAUCUUCGGACCUUGCGCGAUUGAUUGAGCCGAUGCCGGAUUAGCUAGUUGGCGGGGUAAAGGCCCACCAAGGCGACGAUCCGUAGCUGGUCUGAGAGGAUGAUCAGCCACACUGGAACUGAGACACGGUCCAGACUCCUACGGGAGGCAGCAGUGGGGAAUAUUGGGCAAUGGGCGCAAGCCUGAUGCAGCCAUGCCGCGUGAGUGAAGAAGGCCUUCGGGUCGUAAAGCUCUGUUAUUAGGAAAGAAAAACAGCAGGUUAAUACCCCGCUGUUCUGACGGUACCCAAAGAGUAAGCACCGGCUAACUUCGUG
rnacentral:rRNA from 1 species